rnacentral:rRNA from 1 species
AUUGAACGCUGGCGGCAGGCCUAACACAUGCAAGUCGAGCGAGCGGCGGACGGGUGCGUAAUGUAUGGGGACUGCCCGAUAGAGGGGGAUAACUACUGGAAACGGUAGCUAAUACCGCAUACUAUCGGAUAACCCAUAUGGGAUGAGCUAGUAGGUGAGGUAAUGGCUCACCCAGGCGACGAUCCCUAGCUGGUCUGAGAGGAUUAUCAGCCAAACUGGGACUGAGACACGGCCCAGACUCCGACGGAGGCAGCAGUGGGGAAUAUGGCACAAUGGGCGCAAGCCUGAUGCAGCCAUGCCGCGUGUAUGAAGAAGGCCCUAGGGUUGUAAAGUACUUUCAGCAGGGAGGCGUUACCGGCAGAAGAAGCACCGGCUAACUCCGUGCCAGCAGCCGCGGUAAUAC